rnacentral:rRNA from 1 species
UUCGGGACGCCGGCGAGUGGCGAACGGGUGAGUAACACGUGGAGACCUGCCCUGGGGUGGGGGAUAACAGCUAGAAAUGGCUGCUAAUACCGCAUACGCCUUACGAGGGAAAGAUUUAUUGCCCCAGGAGGGUUCCGCGUCGGAUUAGCUUGUUGGUGGGGUAACGGCCUACCAAGGCGACGAUCCGUAGCUGGUCUCAGAGGAUGAUCAGCCACACUGGGACUGAGACACGGCCCAGACUCCUACGGGAGGCAGCAGUGGGGAAUAUUGCGCAAUGGGGGAAACCCUGACGCAGCGAUGCCGCGUGGGUGAAUAAGGCCUUAGGGUUGUAAAGCCCUUUCAGUGGGAACGAUGAUGACGGUACCCACAGAAGAAGCCCCGGCUAACUCCGUGCCAGCAGCCGCGGUAAUACGGAGGGGGCGAGCGUUGU